rnacentral:snRNA from 1 species
AGCGGGCGGUGUUGUCGAGUCGCGAGGCUACGGCACGCGCUCGAAGACGAGGGAAGACGUGGAGAGAGAGAUCAGAGCGUUUCUCUCCAGGGAAGGGAAGGUCGGUUUCAAGAGUGAAGCG